rnacentral:rRNA from 1 species
GACGAAGGAUGCAAGCGUUAUCCGGAUUCAUUGGGCUUAAAGGGUGCGUAGGCGGCCUUGUAAGUCAGUGGUGAAAUCUUUCCGCUUAACGGAAAAACUGCCAUUGAUACUGCUUGGCUUGAGUACAGAUGCUGUGGGCGGAAUAUGACAUGUAGUGGUGAAAUUCGUAGAUAUUCGCAAGAACACCAGUGGCGAAGGCGGCUCACUGGCCCGGUACUGACGCUGAGGUGCGAAAGCGUGGGGAGCAAACAGG